CCUACGGGGGGCUGCAGUGGGGAAUAUUGGACAAUGGGGGCAACCCUGAUCCAGCCAUGCCGCGUGUGUGAAGAAGGCCCUCGGGUUGUAAAGCACUUUCAGUGAGGAAGAACGCCUGGUGGUUAAUACCCAUCAGGAAAGACAUCACUCACAGAAGAAGCACCGGCUAACUCCGUGCCAGCAGCCGCGGUAAUACGGAGGGUGCGAGCGUUAAUCGGAAUUACUGGGCGUAAAGCGCGCGUAGGUGGCUUGAUAAGCCGGUUGUGAAAGCCCCGGGCUCAACCUGGGAACGGCAUCCGGAACUGUCAAGCUAGAGUGCAGGGGAGGAAGGUAGAAUUCCCGGUGUAGCGGUGAAAUGCGUAGAGAUCGGGAGGAAGACCAGUGGCGAAGGCGGCCUUCUGGACUGACACUGACACUGAGGUGCGAAAGCGUGGGUAGCAAACAGGAGUAGAUACCCGGGUAGUC
rnacentral:rRNA from 1 species